UUUUUUUUAAUUAUUUUCUCUUUAUAACAGGAAAGUACCCCGUUCACAAAUCUAUCUUAAUCGUUGAAAAGUUUUUUUAUGAAAAAAUUUUUUAAUUAUUUUUUAAAAUUUUGUAAAUUUUUUCUCACAAUCAAGCACUGAUGAAUUCAUAAGAUGGAAGAAGAGAAUUAGUUUAUGCGAAACAGUGCUAAAAUCAUUGUGGCAGAAGUGAAAGGUAAUUAAAGAGCAGUCGUGAUCAAAGGCACUGUCGAAACCCUUUAUUUUUGGAAGACUUUCUAUGAUUCCAAAG
rnacentral:lncRNA from 1 species